ensembl:ncRNA Y42A5A.8 ncRNA
ACCGUAGUCGCCACUGCCGUCGUCGACGUGGUCGACGCCGAAGCGGUCACCGCGUCCGAAAAUGGACGCAUGCGACCCGGCUCAGACGACGUCCCUUGACGGCAUUCCUCCAGUGCAAACGGCGAAAUCACAAAUUCUGCAAAAAAA